CCUACGGGAGGCAGCAGUAGGGAAUCUUCCACAAUGGGCGAAAGCCUGAUGGAGCAACGCCGCGUGGGUGCAGAAGGUCUUCGGAUCGUAAAACCCUGUUGUUAGAGAAGAAAGUGCGUGAGAGUAACUGUUCACGUGUCGACGGUAUCUAACCAGAAAGCCACGGCUAACUACGUGCAAGCAGCCGCGGUAAUCCGUAGGUGGCAAGCGUUAUCCGGGUUUAUUGGGCGUAAAGGGAACGCAGGCGGGCUUUUAAGUCUGAUGUGAAAGCAUUCGGCUUAACCGGAGUAGUGCAUUGGAAACUGGGAGACGUGAGUGCGGAAGAGGAGAGUGGAACUCCAUGUGGAGCGGUGAAAUGCGUAGAUAUAUGGAAGAACACCAGUG
rnacentral:rRNA from 1 species